CGCGUAGGCGGGCCUUCAAGUCGGGUGUGAAAACUGGCGGCUUAACUGCCAGCCUGCACUCGAUACUGUAGGUCUUGAGUACAGGAGAGGAGAGCGGAAUUCCAGGUGUAGCGGUGAAAUGCGUAGAUAUCUGGAAGAACACCAGUAGCGAAGGCGGCUCUCUGGCCUGAUACUGACGCUCAAGCGCGAAGGCUUGGGUAGCAAACA
rnacentral:rRNA from 1 species